rnacentral:rRNA from 1 species
UGGGGAAUCUUGGACAAUGGGCGCAAGCCUGAUCCAGCCAUGCCGCGUGCAGGAUGACGGUCCUAUGGAUUGUAAACUGCUUUUGUACAGGAAGAAACAGUUCUACGUGUAGAACCUUGACGGUACUGUAAGAAUAAGGAUCGGCUAACUCCGUGCCAGCAGCCGCGGUAAUACGGAGGAUCCAAGCGUUAUCCGGAAUCAUUGGGUUUAAAGGGUCCGUAGGCGGUUAGAUAAGUCAGUGGUGAAAGCCCAUCGCUCAACGGUGGAACGGCCAUUGAUACUGUCUGACUUGAAUUAUUAGGAAGUAACUAGAAUAUGUAGUGUAGCGGUGAAAUGCUUAGAGAUUACAUGGAAUACCAAUUGCGAAGGCAGGUUACUACUAAUGGAUUGACGCUGAUGGACGAAAGCGUGGGUAGCGAACAGGAUUAGAUACCCCAGUAGUCCCUGAGCGGGCUGGCAAGGCG